rnacentral:snoRNA from 1 species
AGUGUUAUGAUGAUUAGCAUAAAUAUGUUCAACUGCUCUGAUGUGUGAGUGAGAGCUGCUUUUCUGAACAACA